GAUGAACGCUGGCGGCGUGCCUAAUACAUGCAAGUCGAGCGAACAGACGAGGAGCUUGCUCCUCUGACGUUAGCGGCGGACGGGUGAGUAACACGUGGAUAACCUACCUAUAAGACUGGGAUAACUUCGGGAAACCGGAGCUAAUACCGGAUAAUAUAUUGAACCGCAUGGUUCAAUAGUGAAAGACGGUUUUGCUGUCACUUAUAGAUGGAUCCGCGCCGCAUUAGCUAGUUGGUAAGGUAACGGCUUACCAAGGCAACGAUGCGUAGCCGACCUGAGAGGGUGAUCGGCCACACUGGAACUGGGACACGGUCCAGAAUCCUACGGGAGGCAGCAGUAGGGAAUCUUCCGCAAUGGGCGAAAGCCUGACGGAGCAACGCCGCGUGAGUGAUGAAGGUCUUCGGAUCGUAAAACUCUGUUAUUAGGGAAGAACAAAUGUGUAAGUAACUAUGAACGUCUUGACGGUACCUAAUCAGAAAGCCACGGCUAACUACGUG
rnacentral:rRNA from 1 species